rnacentral:rRNA from 1 species
GACGAACGCUGGCGGCGCGCCUAACACAUGCAAGUCGAACGGAGUCAAGAGGAGCUUGCUUUUCUUGACUUAGUGGCGAACGGGUGAGUAACGCGUGAGUAACCUGCCCUGGAGUGGGGGACAACAGUUGGAAACGACUGCUAAUACCGCAUAAGCCCACGGAUCUGCAUGGAUCUGCGGGAAAAGGAUUUAUUCGCUCUAGGAUGGACUCGCGUCCAAUUAGCUAGUUGGUGAGGUAACGGCCCACCAAAGCGACGAUUGGUAGCCGGACUGAGAGGUUGAACGGCCACAUUGGGACUGAGACACGGCCCAGACUCCUACGGGAGGCAGCAGUGGGGGAUAUUGCACAAUGGGGGAAACCCUGAUGCAGCGACGCCGCGUGGAGGAAGAAGGUUUUCGGAUUGUAAACUCCUGUCGUUAGGGACGAUAAUGACGGUACCUAACAAGAAAGCACCAGCUAACUACGUG